CCUGUGGGGAGCGCCGUCAGCGAGCGAGGCUGGACUGGGAGUGCCAGAGAAUCACUGACUCUCACCAUCGGUCGUGUUGGAAGGGACCACAGCCGGUCAUCUGGCCCAACCUCCCUGUUCAAGCCGCGACAUCCCAGAGGGCAUGGCAGGGGGUUGUGUCCAGAGAGUUCUUGGAUCUCUCCCAUGAGGGAGGCUCCGCAACUUUGUUGUGCAGCCUGUUCCAGUAUGCAGUCACCUGCACAGUACAGUUUUCAUGUUCGGGUGGAAAUUCCUGUGCUUGUGUUUGCGCCCACUGUCUCUUGUCCUCUUGCUCAGCACCUCUGAGAACAGCCUGACUCCAUUCUCUUGCUGUCACUCUCUUUAAACACUUAUAUACAUAGAUGCACCCUUCAGUGCUGACUAAACAAAGUUAGCUACAAACUGGACUUGCCUAAGAAGAUAAACAUGGAUGUAUUAAUAUGUACUUCCUCACCAGCUUUCAAACCUUGUCCCAUUUAAAGUUGAACUUGCUGCAGUUAGCAUGGUGUUGCUUUCUCCCCACACAGAGUUCCUCAGCUCCACACUGCCCUAGAUGGAAUGGGGCAAGGGACAGAUCCUGUGCUUUUGUGCUUCAUCCACAAAUAUUACAUUUGAUACCUCCGUAUCUGUAACUGGUGAAUUCACUGCUGGAAGGAACAAUUGCUCAGAUACUUGGCUAAUGAAUGGAGUGGCAAAAGUAAAACCCGAGUAUAGUGGAAAUAAUGGGUAAGUUUAAAUAAGAGCAGAAAUUACUAUAUUAAGAGUCUUGCCAAAGUGAGCGGCCCUAAAAGCUAAAGACUAUUGGGGAGAGAUAAAUGCCAUGAAGAAAAAGAGUAGUGUUGAACUCUCCACACAGAUGCACCUGGGUGUGGGGAGAUGAGUAAGUCACUGUGCGUGGCUAUGCAUGACCUGAGCAACUGGCUAAAAAUCAGUGGAGAAGAGGGGCAACUGGAAAGAAGACUGCUUGGGAAGUGAGCAGGGUUGAAGGUUCCUAUGAGUAAAAGAGAAGAAUGGUGAAAUCCAGUUUUCUUCAGCAUUUCAGAAAGAAGAUAUUCAAGGAUGUUGAAAUAAAUCUCCUAUAAUAAUGUGAGAAGAAAAAUACCCACACACGGUAUAUUUCCUACAAACUUUCUUAGUUUCAUAACAUACAAAAAGAAAACUGUAGUUUUGUUUAUCUGACAUACCAGUAUAUUUUCACAAUGUUUUAAAAUAUUAACAGCAGUAUUUCUGAAAUAUUUCUGUCCUAGGACAAUUUCAAAUAAGUAAGUAGUGUUUUCUGCCGCUACAAGCGGUCAUAUUGCUAGCACACUUCUUUUAAUUCACUGUUUGUUCACUUUUAUUCACUUAUUAUUGUGAGUUUAAAUUACACACGUUUUCCUCUGAAAAUAGAAUGUAUGAAAUUGUUUUGCCCUGUGUCUUAGACUUAAACAGUUGCAUAGUAUUGAAGUUCUUUGGUUCUUUAUGUAGAGAUAACAAACUCCUCAGAUGUCAUGGUCUUUUUCCUUUGAAGAAAAUGGAAUAGUUAUUUUUAAACCAGUAACAUAAUUAAAAAGCACUGUGAACUUCCUUUCAAAUGAUUCCAGUUUAAUUUGUCCAUAUAACUUCUCUGUUAUUUUUAUCACUUGUUAAAGACACAUGAUUUGUGAUAAUUAUUAUUAUGGAAUGCUGUUUUUGAAGAAAUGCAUUAGAUUUCUGAAAGUGAUUGCAUACAAUAAAAGACUUUCUGCCUCUUGGGGUUCAUUCAUAACCAAAACAUAAGUUGAAAAAACUUUUGUUCUUUUAGACACCUCUUAAAAUGUCUGUAUCACAGAGGCAAUUCUGCUUUGUCUUGCCCAGUUGACUAUUUCCAGAAGAGACCUUGGAGGAAGGGCAAGUUUCUGCAUGGGUAGUUUUGGGAAAAUCACUAAAAACUUGUGCUUAGGCCCCUAAAUAGUGGUUAAACAAGAAAAGAAAAGAAAAGAAAAGAAAAAAGAAAAGAAAAGAAAAGAAAAGAAAAGAAAAGAAAAGAAAAGAAAAGAAAAGAAAAGAAAAGAAAAGAAAAGAAAAGAAAAGAAAAGAAAAGAAAAGAAAGAAAAGAAAAGAAGAGUCCGUAUAUACAGUAAUGUCCUUUACUAAUUAAAUGGUUUACAUUUGUGCCGUGUGAAUGAAUCAUUAUCAUAAUUCUUUUAUGCAAACCCAGGAAAGAGAAGAUAAAUGCUGAUUCUCUUACCAUUGAGUUCACUUUAACCAGAGAUCUCAAAUGUUUUAGCUUUUUGGGGAAUCCAUGGCUCUAUGCGUUAGCUUUUCAUUGCAUUUACAAUAAGACAUAUGUAAUCAGCAUGAAAAUCCAGUGCCUUCUUUAUCUGAGUGUUGUGUAAGUAAAAAGCUGACCUCACUUGGAUGCUUUCACAAUUUAAUUCUUUGAAAGUAGAAUGUGCAUUCAAGGGACAUAUUAGUGCCCAUGUCUCUGCUGGUGCGUUGAAAUGAGCUGGGAAGCCUAGCCUGGCAAGGCUGUUGAAUGUAGCAUUUAGGGCUAGCUACAGGAUCAGUUCAUCUGAAAGCCUUGGUGAUAGGCGGGUCCACCUUCACAUCCCCCCACUGUUCCCAAGUCCUGAACUUUAGAAUUGUAAAAAAAAACAAAAAAAAACAACUUCUUAAUCCUAUUUACCAGAGAGCAAAUGAGUGAAGUCCAGCAUAGCAAUACACCCUGAAAUACACAUCAAACCGGGAUAUAUACAUCACAGGCAUCAGUGGGGAAGAGGAUUCUGCCAGCACAAAAGCAGUGAACUUGGUAUGGGUUGUUGGUGCUUCUUGCUCUUAUUGUAAUAGGUGCUGGAUUCAGAGCAUUCUUCUUCCUCCUUGUCUGAUGCUGCCACUAAGCAAGGGGGAAGGUUCUAUUGCCAUAAAAAAACCCUAGAAGGAUCACGGGUGAUUGUCUAAUCCUGAUUGAGAAAAGCUGUGAAUUAGGGUUCCAGUUUCUAACCUCUGGAAAUUUUUUAAUUGGUUUGACUGGGAUUUUUCUUGGUUUGGGUUGAGUUUUUUGGGGGGAAGGAGUGAGUGUCUUUUUUUGUUUGUUUGUUUGUUUUUUAUUUGUUUGCUUUUAAUUUUGUUUUUAGAAGUGUUUUGUCCAAAAUCAAAUUUUAAUGUGAAAUUUGUUCUAUGAAGGACUAAGUAAACUUGAAGACAUGCUAUAGUCUUGAUGUGUUCCAGAGGAACUAAGAACUGAGAGGAGUUUUAGUUGAAAUCCUACUUUAUAGUAGUUUGUCAGCUAUUACAGAGAAAAACUAUGGUAUCAUCCUUGCAUCCUCUGGCCUAUUCCUUUGAGAAAUGAUCAAAAGUAUGAUUUUAUUGCAUUGCAGACCUGGAGGCCCUUCUUCUUUUUUGAGUUCCAAAUGUAUGUGGGGUUUUUUUGGCAGCUUUCCAUCCUAUGCAGGUUUUGAAAGGAUAUUUGGCUGAAAUUUAAUUUUGUCUUGCAGCAGUAUUUAAUUAACCUUUGUCUCUCUGAGAUGAAGAUUAAAAACUGUCAGGAAGUCUGUUAUUUAUCUCGGUUUUCACAGGUAAUUGCUAAAUGGAGUUGACAAAGUACCCCAUCAGAACACUGUCAAUUUUGGUAGCAGUCUGUGAGGAACUCCUCAAUACUAGUAAGUCUGUAGAGCAGACUUAAAAGUCUGUAAAACAAGCAUAAACAUCUCACAUUGUGUGUUCAGCUUCUACUGAUGACUCAAGCUCUUUUCCUACACAGAAUGAAGUCAGGAUUAUUGGCUAAACUAUACAUGUCCUUUCUCACCAGGCACAGUACUGUAAGUACUUUUUAAUGCAUAAUCCACAGCAUAAGAUACUGCAAGGAACAAGGCUGUCUCUGUUUACCUUACUUAUUCUAGCCAGACCACAUAAAAGGAUGGAUUAAAAUGCUGAAUCAAGAUAUCCUUAAAUUAUGUCACCAUUAUGUUACAGACCUGUCUCAGCAAAGAUGACUCAGCACUUCAGUGGUAAUUUCCUAAAUUGUAACAUAGUUAUAGAAUGUGGCAUAGAUUGCCCAGAAAUUGCAGUGGAAGGCAGAAGGCAAGAGAAGUGAUGCAAUCGUUUUUCUUCCCCAGAUUUCUCCUUGGUUUUUUGUUUGGUUGGUUUUGGCAGUCUCCCAAGACGUUUCUGUUCAGCUAAACACCAGGUACUUAGCCGCCAGUGUGCAAACUUCACUCCACUAACUUUCUGCUACUACAAGAAGUCAUAUUGCUAACACACUUCUUUUAAUUCACUGUUUAUUCACUUUCAUUCACUUAUUAUUGUGAGUUUAAAUUACAUACAUUUUCCUCUGAAAAUAGAAUCUAUGCCAUUGUUUUGCCCUGUGUCUUAAACUUACCCUCUGUCUUAAACUUGCCCUGUGUCUUAGACUUAGGCUCCAUCGUCUCAAAAACUCUGAGGUCAACAGUCUGCUACUGAUCUUGGUGACAAGUGCAAACCCAGAUGGAUUUUGUCAGCCACAAUGGAACCAUUCCAGUCACUUCACAGGUGCACAGAAGGAAGACCAGAAAGAAGCUUAAGGAAUAGAAAAUGGGAAGAUAUUUUAAAGUAACUAAAUAGUGAAACUAGUAGGUUCAUCUGCAAAAAAACCAACCAGAAAACCCAAACCCCAGCCUCCCCACUUCUCUCUCAAGAUACUAAUUUUCCAUCAAAUACCAUGCAACUUUUGUGUGAAGAACUGGACAUUACAAUGUUUUCAUCUCCUGCAGAAACAAGAGAAAAUAUAAUAGUGUCUCCAAAAGGGAAUUCUGCUGACCUACCUAUGGUGGAUAGUAACAGGAACUUCAGAUGCCUGAGAAAUGUAUAAGUGACCAAACUCUCUAAUGUAAAGAGGUUGAGAAAAUAGAGUUGUGCUUUGCACUGUCCUUUUGUGGUCAUGCACAGAGGAACUGGAAAAAGGGACACACACCACAAGGUUCUGCAACAACACCAGAAUAAAAUAGGACAAAAGAAAGCAAACAGAAAAUCACCAUGAAGAGCAUGUGGAUGAAAAAAUGCCUUCUUCCUGAGAGACAUGCAGAGGAACAAGGACAGCAGCACACCGAAAGACUUACAUGGUGACUCCCACCACCACUGGCAGUAUGUCAGAGAACCUCUGAACACUUGAGAUUGUGCAUCAGUUAAAAUCACCAUUACUCAGAGAAUUAGGAAACAGCACAGACAGAUCUUGAAAGAGAAAACAAUGGGAAACUACAUGAAAUACAUGAAAUCAAAGACUGAAUUAAAGAAUAUGAAGCAUCAGAAGAAAGAUUUCACCAUGGACUGUGAAAGUAAAAUAGGGAAAAAAUGGAUGGGAAUGAACAAGAAACAGUGCACAGAGGGCUCUUGCUGUUUAAGUACACAUCUGACAAAGAAGCAAGGGACUCUACAGAAAAGGAAAACAAAAAAGCAAAAUAUUUCAGAAAUAUUCUGAAUAGUCAGAAAACUAUUCAGUCAGAAUUGUAAGGAUGUAUAAUAAAGAAUAAUGCUGGUGAAAAAAGGCACAGGACAGACAGAGAGUGAAUAGAGAACCAAAUAGAAAUGAAAAAAACAGUAAUUAAAUUGCAGGUAUUCACCUAAGUUAUUUAAAAAAGUAAAGCACAAAGAGGCUCGUGAAGGAAUAUAAUGUCCAUACUAUAACGGAAAUUAUACAGGAGAAGAACAUAUGAAGGUUAAUGCUGUAAUCUUGGAAUUUACACUGCAAAGAAUGAAUGUGAAGACCGCCACAGAACAGGUAGAAAAUAUGCAGUGUGAGAAAACAGAGAUUUGAGCUUCUGAAGCAGGAAGCUACAAAAUCUUACCUGUGACACUGCUUGCUCUGGAAAUAAUUCACACUGCAAACAGGGCUACAGAAUAUAGAAAAAGCUCAGCAAGAACACCCAAACUUCAAUUUGUAUGCACCAUAAACUGAAGUAAGUUAGAGUUCUACACGAACUAUAUUUAAAAGAGCUUGAGGAAUUUAAGGUAAGAAAUCUAGCCAGCUAAAAGACACUUGGAUUUUUCUAUAUAAUACUUGAGUAUAUUUUCAGGUAUACAUCUAUUUUGGUUCAUACAUAUAAUCAGAGUGAAUUUUUAGCUUAAAAAGUGUUCUAUAUAAUUUAUACAGUGUCUAAAAUGUGUUAUCAAUAAAUAUAGGAAUUAAAAAAAUUAUAAUCCAUAUUCUUGAUUGCUACCAGGUCAUUCUUCAGUUUCAUACAGAUUCCUUCUUAUAGCUGAAAGACUCAUUACUCCAGCAACAACAUACAAAAACAGUGUGACUGUAUUCUGUCUAAUAUAAAAUUAUGUUCAUCCAUUCAUGCUUACUGAAUUCAUUCCACUGAACAGAUCUCCAGAUCCUACAUGAGCUGUGUGAACGAAGUUUGUCGGCUCCCCAAUCAUGCUUCGAUCAAUCCGCCGUCGUCUUUUCUGAAAGGAAGGUGAAAAAAACAUCUGAGAUUCACUGAAAAGGCAAAAGCAGUAUGUCAUAAAGAUAGAUGUUAACCAUCUAUAGGAAGGAUAUUGCAUACACUGUAAGUAAAUUGAAUUUGAAGGAAACAGCACAAUCAUCUCCUACUUAAAGAAGAAGAAAUUAAACAUAGUUAUGCUCAUUUCCCUCUACCAUCUGUGGCUUUCCAUGCUCUCUCCUUGCGCAGCUCACAAGCCUUCUUGCAUGACCGAUUUGUUGCAGUGAAGGACUGAUUUUGUGUUCUGGGAGUUAAAAAAGCAGUGCUUGGGAUGUGGCCCCUGUCUUCUCCAGGGCCAGAGAAGCUGUGGCUGAUCAGCUGAGAUAAUCACCAUGGCUUUCAGGAGGGGAAGACACAUAAAAUAAUUCAUGUUAAAAAGAAUGUUAAAAAUGUUAAAAAAUGCUGACAGGGCUCAAUAAAAAUUUAAUCCCACUAGGCUUUAUCCAUACCUGAAACCACUUGACAUCACACCAUAAAUAAUUAUCUCUAGAAUACAUUUACACACCACUGAUCUAGUAAUAAGUAGUAUUGAAAUGUGACUAAAGGUCAUCUAUAAAACAAAUGAAUGUUUAUGACACUAGUGCAAAGAACUUCAACAUACAGACCUGAGUACUUGUACCAUCUAAAAGUUUGUUUUCAAGAUGUUUCUGACUAAAGAAAUAAAUGUCCUAACCUAACUAAAUGUCAGCCUAACUACAAUGAGUCCUGUGUCCUCUAUUUGCAUUCCCUGUGGAUUUUUUUCCUAGCAGGAGGGAAACAAAAGAAGGUUCAUAUUACAACUAGCUAACUUGACUGUUAUCUUUCUUGACAGUUUAGGUCAAGUUACUAAAACACUCAGUAUAAGUGGACAAAAAAAGUUUGAAAUCUGUAUUAAAAUAUUUUUUGCCCUUUUGUCUUGUGCCAUAGCACUUCUCCUUUUGCUAGGAGGGCAAGGGGUGACAUGGAGCACAACAAUAAUGAGAUGAGAGGAAAAGACCUGUAAAAGGAUCCUGGAAGUGGAACAUGAAGUGUCAUCAUUUAAUGGCUUACUCAGUUUAUUCCCUUGACAAAAAGCUGAAGAAUUUGGAUUGCGAAAUACAUACCACACAAUCUUUACACCAUGAAAAGAAAAACUGAUCUUGAAACUGAAGCAGAAGAGAUGCAGGCUUGUGUGUUAAAUGUCUUGAGAGUAAUGGAGAUAGCGGGAAGACCCACCUAAGAAGCCCUGUUUUGAACGUGCACUAGAUGCAAUGAAACAGGAUCACAUUUCAGUUACCAUAGAAAUAAAGUAAAAAUGGAUCUUUUCUAUUCUUAACUUGUGAGUUAUGCUUUGCACCCACACGGUAGCAUUUCCUUUGAAAUACCACAUUAGAAAUCAGAAAGCCUCCAACAGUUGCAUCACACAAAUAUUUGAACCUGCAAGUUUCUUGAAACUUUAAACAAUUUUAAACUUUUGCCUAAAAAGUUAAAAUAAUUAUAGCAUGUAUUCAGCCUGUCCUUCAGCAAAGCCACAAACAUUUCACUGAAAUGCUGUUUUUCAUAGUUCCAAAGACUACUUGUUGCAAGAAAUUCAAAAUUGUAAUUUGUUUCUUUAAACAUACUGAUGUGUCUAGAAGUAUGUAAAAUUUCCUUUCUAUUCCCUUGUAUUUUUGGUUUUCAGGAAAGAAGUUAUCUUUUUUCACUAUCUCCAGAUUUUGUCCCGAGGUCAGGCUGCCCUUCUUUAGCUCAAGCCCUUUCAUAAAUGAUGGCAACACUUCUGAAUUGACAAGAUCUCUGCCUGUAUGAAAAAGACAAGUCUGGGAAUUUUGGGAAUUUUUUCUCCUUCCCAUGGUAAUGCACCCUUCUCUGCUCUUCAUGAGAGGUCCUAUCAACAACAACAACAAAACAAAACAACAAAAACCAACAACAACAACAAAAAACCACAACCAACCAAACCAAACCAAACAAACAAACAAAAAAAACCAAAAAACAAACAAACAAAAAACAAACAACAAAAAAAAGGAAGUUAAGACUAACACCAAGGUCUCAAACAUAUAAAAAAAUAUUAAGUGAUAUCACUUAGAUCUUGGGAGGUUGACAAUUACUUUCCUGCUAGAAGCUGAAGAUGACAGUGAAGUCAACCUUUGUAUCAAGUUUCAUACAAAGAUAUUCCGAAGUCAAGUGCUAGCCUGCAUUUGCUGGAUAUUAAAAGCAAAGGAAUCUGUUAAGCUCCAGAAGAGCCCGUUUUGCUAAUUCUACACCAGAUAUUUUGAGAUGGCUGUGACAGACAUAUCAGAAAUCCAAGUCUAAGUGAAAUGUAAGUGACAACAGCAUUGCACAGGAUUCUCCAACACAAAAAUCUGUGGAUUUUACCUGCAGCAGGCAGUCCUCAAAUGAAAGGUUUACUGCAGGUGUAGAUGAGGAAUGUGCACUAAAGUACAUGGUAGACACUGAAGAAAUUCAGGGGGGAUGAUGUAUUGUGAAUAUAAAAUCUCUAAAAACAAUGCUUCUUUUUUAAAAUUCACACAUACGGUAUCUUUCUCCCAUUGCUUACCCAUUUAAUUUAUCCCACUUUACAAAACAAGAAAAAGUUCCAACUCUUUUUUCCACACAGAAAUAUUCUUUAUUCAGCUGUAUGACGUCCUGGCUAUUUAUAUCGUAGGAUCUCAGUAAACUAAACUGUAAGAAACCAGGCAACAGAAUACCCACUGUCCCCAAUGUCUACACAAGCAACAAAUCAGUGGCAGGGACAGGCUGGAUCUUUGCAUCUCACAUUGAGAGUAACAAAACUUGGUAUUUAAGAUACAAGCAGUAAAUCCUUGUUUUAAUAAUUCUCCUCUAAAACUAACAAAGACACAGUUAUGUCUGUAUUGAAGAGAACUUUUUAAAAAUUAAUACUUGUUAAUGUCAUCAAGGAAUCACAAGGGAAGGAUAACUUUGCUCCUGCCAACUUUUCAGCAUUUACCCAAAUGUUAUGAGUGCAAUUUUUAGUAACUGUUUUAUACAUAUAGUUUUUACUUAUUUCAUAUGCAGUAAAAAUACAUUGAACAUACCAUGUUUAUGUAUUACUUAAGUUAUAUUAAUAUAUCAUGCAUCUAAAUACAUUUUUUCUGUCAUUCCAUACUUAUCUGUGUCCCAAAAGAACAGGGCACAGUACAUUAGAAAGGAAUAGCAUGCUGAUCUGAUCUAUCUAUUCUGAUUUUGUGCAAUGUGUUUCCAACCAGAUCCAAAUCAAUAUGAAGUGUUCCAUAUAUAAAUUGCCAAGUGAUGCACCUUCCUUUUUUUGACCAAGAUUAUCUAGUCUUUCAUUUUAACUGAGGAAGAGGAAGUUUUGUUCAAAUUUGUCACAAUUUCUCCUUAUUCUUCAAGACACUAAUAUUUUUCAUGACAUAUUAUUUUGGCUUGAUGCAUAAUGAGGAAAAAGCAAAACUAUAUACCAUGCUUUGGCAUCUCAACUGAUACAGAGUAAAAACAUCAGAUUCCAAGAUUAAUUUUCCAGUCUUGUAUCAAUUUCUUCUCUA